UGGGUAACCUACCCAUAAGACUGGGAUAACUCCGGGAAACCGGGGCUAAUACCGGAUAAUAUUUUGAACUGCAGAGUUCGAAAUUGAAAGGCGGCUUCGGCUGUCACUUAUGGAUGGACCCGCGUCGCAAUAGCUAGUUGGUGAGGUAACGGCUCACCAAGGCGACCAUACGUAACCAACCUGAGAGGGUGAUCGGCCACACUGGGACUGAGACACGGCCCAGACUCCUACGGGAGGCAGCAGUAGGGAAUCUUCCGCAAUGGACGAAAGUCUGACGGAGCAACGCCGCGUGAGUGAUGAAGGCUUUCGGGUCGUAAAACUCUGUUGUUAGGGAAGAACAAGUGCUAGUUGAAUAAGCUGGCACCUUGACGGUACCUAACCAGAAAGCCACGGCUAACUACGUGCCAGCAGCCGCGGUAAUACGUAGGUGGCAAGCGUUAUCCGGAAUUAUUGGGCGUAAAGCGCGCGCAGGUGGUUUCUUAAGUCUGAUGUGAAAGCCCACGGCUCAACCGUGGAGGGUCAUUGGAAACUGGGA
rnacentral:rRNA from 2 species